rnacentral:rRNA from 1 species
UACGUAGGGUGCAAGCGUUGUCCGGAAUUAUUGGGCGUAAAGAGCUCGUAGGCGGUUUGUUGCGUCGGCUGUGAAAUCCCGAGGCUCAACCUCGGGUCUGCAGUCGAUACGAGCAAACUAGAGUGUUGCAGGGGGAGACUGGAAUUCCUGGUGUAGCGGUGAAAUGCGCAGAUAUCAGGAGGAACACCGAUGGCGAAGGCAGGUCUCUGGGCAUUAACUGACGCUGAGGAGCGAAAAGCAUGGGGAGCGAACAGG